rnacentral:rRNA from 1 species
AGAGUUUGAUCCUGGCUCAGAGUGAACGCUGGCGGCAGGCCUAAUACAUGCAAGUCGAACGGCAGCACAGCAGAGCUUGCUCUGUGGGUGACGAGUGGCGGACGGGUGAGGAAUACGUGGGAAUCUGCCCAGUCGUGGGGGAUAACGUAGGGAAACUUACGCUAAUACCGCAUGCGCCCUUCGGGGGACAGCCGGGGACCUUCGGGCCUGGCGCGAUUGGAUGAGCCCACGUCGGAUUAGCUAGUUGGCGGGGUAAAGGCCCACCAAGGCGACGAUCCGUAGCUGGUCUGAGAGGAUGAUCAGCCACACUGGAACUGAGACACGGUCCAGACUCCUACGGGAGGCAGCAGUAGGGAAUAUUGGACAAUGGGCGCAAGCCUGAUCCAGCCAUGCCGCGUGAGUGAAGAAGGCCCUCGGGUUGUAAAGCUCUUUUGUCCGGAAAGAAAAGCGCCGGGUUAAUACCCUGGUGUCCUGACGGUACCGGAAGAAUAAGCACCGGCUAACUUCGUG